AUUGUAAAGCACUUUAAGUUGGGAGGAAGGGCAGUAAGUUAAUACCUUGCUGUUUUGACGUUACCAACAGAAUAAGCACCGGCUAACUUCGUGCCAGCAGCCGCGGUAAUACGAAGGGUGCAAGCGUUAAUCGGAAUUACUGGGCGUAAAGCGCGCGUAGGUGGUUCAGCAAGUUGGAUGUGAAAUCCCCGGGCUCAACCUGGGAACUGCAUCCAAAACUAACUGAGCUAGAGUACGGUAGAGGGUGGUGGAAUUUCCUGUGUAGCGGUGAAAUGCGUAGAUAUAGGAAGGAACACCAGUGGCGAAGGCGACCACCUGGACUGAUACUGACACCGAGGUGCGAAAGCGUGGGGAGCAAACAGGAUUAGAUACCCUGGUAG
rnacentral:rRNA from 1 species